GAGGAAUAUUGGUCAAUGGGCGCAAGCCUGAACCAGCCAUCCCGCGUGAAGGAAGAAGGCGCUAUGCGUCGUAAACUUCUUUUCCAGGAGAAUAAAAUUUUGUACGUGUACGGAAUUGAAGGUAUCCUGGGAAUAAGCAUCGGCUAACUCCGUGCCAGCAGCCGCGGUAAUACGGAGGAUGCAAGCGUUAUCCGGAUUUAUUGGGUUUAAAGGGUGCGCAGGCGGAAAAAUAAGUCAGUGGUGAAAACCUGCAGCUUAACUGUAGAAUUGCCAUUGAUACUGUUAUUCUUGAGUAUGGUCAAGGUAGGCGGAAUGUGUAAUGUAGCGGUGAAAUGCUUAGAUAUUACACAGAACACCGAUUGCGAAGGCAGCUUGCUGGGCCAUUACUGACGCUCAUGCACGAAAGCGUGGGGAUCGAAC
rnacentral:rRNA from 1 species